UACGUACCGGACGAACGUUAUUCGGAAUUACUGGGCUUAAAGCGUGCGCAGGCGGUCUGGCAGGUUGGGUGUGAAAACCCUCGGCUCAACCGAGGAAUGGCGCUCAAUACCACUGGGCUAGAGCGAGGUAGAGGUGAGCGGAACUACGGGUGGAGCGGUGAAAUGCGUUGAUCUCCGUGGGAACGCCGGAGGCGAAAGCGGCUCACUGGGCCUCUGCUGACGCUCAGGCACGAAAGCUAGGGGAGCGAACGGG
rnacentral:misc_RNA from 1 species